GACGAACGCUGGCGGCGUGCCUAACACAUGCAAGUCAACUUGACUGAAGGAGCAAUCUGACAGUAGAGUGGCGCAAGGGUGCGUAACGCGUAAGUAACUUGCCCCAAGGUAAGGAAUAACGUCGAGAAAUCGGCGCUAAUACCUCAUAAUGCAGCGGAUCCGCAUGGAUAUGUUGUUAAAGGUUUACCGCCUUGGGAUAGGCUUGCGUCUGAUUAGCUAGUUGGUGUGGUAACGGCACACCAAGGCUACGAUCAGUAACUGGUCUGAGAGGAUGAUCAGUCACACUGGAACUGAGACACGGUCCAGACUCCUACGGGAGGCAGCAGUGAGGAAUAUUGGGCAAUGCUCGAAAGAGUGACCCAGCAACGCCGCGUGGAGGAUGAAGGUAUUCUAUAUCGUAAACUCCUGUGAGAGCAGACGAAAGACAGAUUAUUAAUACUGGAUGACUGUAUGCUCAGA
rnacentral:rRNA from 1 species